UACAGAGGUCCCAAGCGUUGUUCGGAUUCACUGGGCGUAAAGGGCGCGUAGGCGGCUGGGGAAGUCCGUGGUGAAAGCUCGUGGCUCAACUGCGAGUCGGCCAUGGAUACUCCUCGGCUUGAGCACUGUAGAGGCAGGUGGAAUUCCGGGUGUAGCGGUGGAAUGCGUAGAGAUCCGGAAGAACACCGGUGGCGAAGGCGGCGCUCUGGACCGAGACUGACGCUGAGGCGCGAAAGCGUGGGGAGCAAACAGG
rnacentral:rRNA from 1 species